AGACUGGAGUGUGUUUCAUGGACGAGCAACCUCCCUGAGGAGAACCCCGGAUACGCAGGGUCACCAGUAAAAUGAGCAUUCAUUCAUUAAGCCAAUCAUCAGGAAUGGAUCUAGGAAGAACCUACUGUUUACUAGAAAUAGGUUAGAUCUGUGGAUAUAACAAUGAAUAAGACAAGACUGGUGGAUCUAUAGAGAAACUAUUACUGCACAGGUGAUGGGGAAAUCAAGAGUACUAUGGGGCCAAGGAGACUGUCCUGCAGCAAAUGAGGAAUAAGCUGAAACAUCAGUAGGAGCCAUCCCAGAGAAAAGGGACAGGGUUCUAGAUCCAGAGAACAACAGAAGAGCAUUCAGCGCCUGCAAGGGAGCAGGGGAUCUAAUGCAAAGCCAUU
rnacentral:lncRNA from 1 species